CAGUUCUUUUUUCUUUCUGGUGCCGGAUGUAUGCAUCCGGAUAAUAGGGAAGUACGUGAGAAUCGUACACUGUUCCCGCAACUGUAAGAGACGGUUUGCCGAAAAAAAGCUGCUGACGGCUCCGUUGGCAUGCUUUUGAUCAGGUAUGUUCAGGUCACUUCGUUCCAUUACAAUUUCCGCCCGGGAAAACGAGGGAAGGCCAGAACGUUUUUAUCAGCCUGCAACUGCCGCAGGCGGCCGCUCAUAGUCAGGAGACCUGCCCGAAAGCCGUUACCCCU
rnacentral:ncRNA from 2 species